UACGGGGGGGGCAAGCGUUGUUCGGAAUUACUGGGCGUAAAGGGCUCGUAGGCGGCCAACUAAGUCAGACGUGAAAUCCCUCGGCUUAACCGGGGAACUGCGUCUGAUACUGGAUGGCUUGAGGUUGGGAGAGGGAUGCGGAAUUCCAGGUGUAGCGGUGAAAUUCGUAGGUAUCGGGAGGAACACCAGUGGCGAAGGCGGCGAUCUGGGAAGAUACUGACGCUGAGGUGCGAAAGCGUGGGGAGCAAACAGG
rnacentral:rRNA from 1 species